GAUCCUGGCUCAGGACGAACGCUGGCGGCACGCUUAACACAUGCAAGUCGAACGAGAGAAGAGAAGCUUGCUUUUCUGAUCUAGUGGCGGACGGGUGAGUAACACGUGAGCAAUCUGCCUUUCAGAGGGGGAUACCGAUUGGAAACGAUCGUUAAUACCGCAUAACAUAAUUGAACCGCAUAAUUUGAUUAUCAAAGAUUUAUCGCUGAAAGAUGAGCUCGCGUCUGAUUAG
rnacentral:rRNA from 1 species